rnacentral:tRNA from 1 species
GGCUCGUUGCUCUAGUGGUGUGAUUCUCACUUUGGCAAAGAGAUUUUCUGGGUUGAAAUCCUAGAUGAGCCU